UCGCAAUGCCCGAAAGGGUGACGAAGCGACGCCGCGUGUGGGAAGAAGGCCUUCGGGUUGUAAACCACUGUCGGGAGUUAAGAAAUGCAAGAAUGUUAAUAGCGUUUUUGCUUGACUAAGGCUCCGGAGGAAGCCACGGCUAACUCUGUGCCAGCAGCCGCGGUAAUACAGAGGCGGCAAGCGUUGUUCGGAAUUAUUGGGCGUAAAGAGCACGUAGGCGGCUAUAUAAGUCGGUUGUGAAAGCCUUCCGCUCAACGGGAGAACAGCAUCCGAUACUGUGUGGCUUGAGUGUGGGAGGGGAGAGCGGAACUUCUGGUGGAGCGGUGAAAUGCGUAGAUAUCAGAAGGAACGCCGGCGGCGAAAGCGGCUCUCUGGCCCAUAACUGACGCUGAGUGUGCGAAAGCUAGGGGAGCAAACGGGAUUAGAUACCCCGGUAGUCCUAGCCGUAAACGAUGGGCACUAAGUAGAGGGGUUUUU
rnacentral:rRNA from 1 species